rnacentral:rRNA from 1 species
UGAUCCUGGCUCAGGAUGAACGCUAGCGGCAGGCCUAAUACAUGCAAGUCGAACGAGAUUCAAGACUUCGGUUUUGAUGAAAGUGGCGCACGGGUGCGUAACGCGUAUGCAACCUACCCUUAACUGGGGGAUAGCCCGGAGAAAUUCGGAUUAAUACCCCAUAGUAUCACAAGAUGGCAUCUGAAAGUGAUUAAAGAUUUAUUGGUUAAGGAUGGGCAUGCGUGACAUUAGAUAGUUGGUGAGGUAACGGCUCACCAAGUCUACGAUGUCUAGGGGUUCUGAGAGGAUGAUCCCCCACACUGGUACUGAGAUACGGACCAGACUCCUACGGGAGGCAGCAG